rnacentral:rRNA from 1 species
GAUGAACGCUGGCGGCGUGCCUAAUACAUGCAAGUCGAGCGAACGGACGAGAAGCUUGCUUCUCUGAUGUUAGCGGCGGACGGGUGAGUAACACGUGGAUAACCUACCUAUAAGACUGGGAUAACUUCGGGAAACCGGAGCUAAUACCGGAUAAUAUUUUGAACCGCAUGGUUCAAAAGUGAAAGACGGUCUUGCUGUCACUUAUAGAUGGAUCCGCGCUGCAUUAGCUAGUUGGUAAGGUAACGGCUUAACAAGGCAACGAUGCAUAGCCGACCUGAGAGGGUGACCGGCCACAGUGGGACUGAGGAACGGCCCAGACUCCUACGGUAGGCAGCAGUGGGGAAUAUUGCACAAUGGGCGGAAGCCUGAUGCAGCAACGCCGCGAGCGGGAUGACGGCCUUCGGGUUGUAAAACGCUUUCGCCUGUGACGAAGCGUGAGUGACGGUAAUGGGUAAAGAAGCACCGGCUAACUACGUG